UAUGAUGUUAGUCACAUGAUACUCUUCUCC
rnacentral:piRNA from 1 species